CUUUUUCUUCUCCUCCUCUUCUCUUCUCCCGAUUUCUCCUUCCCCCUUUCUUCCCAUUUCUUCUCCCAUGGAGGGAGAAGGGCGAGCUCGGGAGAAACGGCAACGGCCGACGGCGCCCGGCGGCCGGCUUGCGGUGCCCACGGUCGCGCCCGCGGCCGUGCCUGCGGUCGUGCCCGUGGCCAUGCCCAAGGCCGCUUCGGCGGCCCGCGGCCGUGUCUGCGUCCCGCUGCCGGCGACCCGCGUCCCACGGCCGACAACCCGCGGCCCGUGGCCGAGGCCGGCGCCCGCGGUUACGGCUGCGGAUCACCCACUGAUUUCUUGUGCGCUUAAAAGAUUAUGUACGCAAUCGAGCCUAUCCUAAGAGAUCGAUUGCUGAAGGAUAUAUUGCUGAGGAGUGUUUGACAUUUUGUUCGAGAUAUCUUGAAGGUGUUGAAAUGGUUUUCAAUCGACCUCAAAAGAAUUGUGAUUUCAUAGAGAAUGCAGAUGUUUACAAGUUCUCAUCUGGUGGAAGAGUUUUGGAAAAAGUUGAAAGUGUUGUUCUUGAGCAGAAAUCGUUGGCACUGGCACAUCGCUAUAUCUUACUUCAUAGUGAUAUAAUAUCUAAGUCUCGCAGAAAAAUUUUUAAUAGCUCAGCGAAGUCUCAACCAUAACAUUCGUCCUACACCAAGGAUUGAGCAACGAUGGUACCAAUGAUGAUGGAGAGAAAUUGUUCCAAGGAGUUAAUAGUCAUUACUCGAGGUCCGAAUAAUAUUGUCAACAGAUAUGGUGGGUUCAUUAUAAAUGGUUUUAAAUUUCAUAUUAAAGAGCGUGAGAAAUUUAGAAAAAUCCAAAAUAGUGGGGUUAUGGUUGAGACGGAUGGAAAAAAUUAUUACGGUGCUCUAACAGAUAUUU